AUUGAACGCUGGCGGCAUGCUUUACACAUGCAAGUCGAACGGCAGCGCGGGCUUCGGCCUGGCGGCGAGUGGCGAACGGGUGAGUAAUGCAUCGGAACGUGCCCAGUAGUGGGGGAUAGCCCGGCGAAAGCCGGAUUAAUACCGCAUACGCCCUGUGGUUGAAAGCGGGGGACCGAAAGGCCUCUCGCUUUUUUAGCUGCCGAUGUCGUAUUUGCUAGUUGGUGGGGUAAAGGCUUACCAAGGCUACGAUCCGUAGCUGGUCUGAGAGGACGACCAGCCACAAUGGGACUGAGACACGGCCCAGACUCCUACGGGAGGCAGCAGUGGGGAAUUUUGGACAAGGGGGGCAACCCUGAUCCAGCCAUGCCGCGUGAGGGAAGAAGGACUUCGGGUUGUAAACCGAUUUUGUUCGGGAAGAAAUACUCUGGGCUAAUACCCCGGGGGGAUGACGGUACCGGAAGAAUAAGCACCGGCUAACUACGUG
rnacentral:rRNA from 1 species